rnacentral:lncRNA from 1 species
UUGGCUAUCUUUUAAACUUUCUACUCAUUUCACAAAAAUAAGGCUUCAUUCAGCCUUCAAAAUGCUUUAAUGAGUCAUCAUUUCAUUCUUCCGCACAAACAUGACACUUUGCAUGUAACUAAACAAUCAUCUUCCUUAGCGUGCCUUAGGGUUUUCUCAAGUCUUGGCUUGGGGAAUAAAGAUAUCUUGACCAAAAAGUUUGUGAGUUUACCCUCAAUAGAUCUAUAUUAACAGAUAAUGAGUUAAGAUACC